CUCUCCUCACCUCAUCAGCAUUAUAAAAACCACCAUGAACAUCUUAUGGGUAACAUGGAUUAUGGCAUUACAGGCUGAAAUGUAGCAGGCACACAUCUGGAACUGCUGGAUGCCCACAUGUAGGAUCCUUUUAUACACCAGGGGAGGAGUCUGAGCUGUCGGGGAAUGUGGACGUCAGCUGGGGCACCAAAUACGGGUGGCAUCUGAGUAUGUGCUAGGCCCAUUUCAUGCUGGAGGCAGUCUGGAGGGGAGCUCAUGGCUGCAGUUCUCAGGCCUAGGGCUAGGCCUGCUGGUGGAGCACUUGACUCACCCCUGGUGGGUCUGGAUGCAUCGUGGGACCCUGGAAGUCACUGCUGGGCUGUGUAGUCCCCAGCGAAGAAUGGUUGGAGGCUCGGGAUCGAAACGGUCGUAAGUCGAGGAUUUUUGAGGAUCAGUGGUGCGGCAGCAGCGGUGGUGGUGAUGGCUGGUCCUGAUCCGGAUGUGCUGGCCCCUGGUCGGUUGGAGAAGCCUGGCAGAGGUCGCGGAGCAGACACACAUCUGGAACUGCUGGAUGCCCACGGGUAGGAUCCUUUUAUACACCAGGGGAGGAGUCUGAGGUAUGUAGUUGGAACUGGCUUGGUCCCCAUGUGGCCGGUCUUUUGUACCCAGGGGGAGGAGUUAAAGGAAGUCAUUUUCAGUUAAGGAGGAUCACCUGUCAACCUUGAAGCUGAUCUGACUGAGGCCAUUUUGGGGUUUCAGUGUUGCCACACUGGAGCUUGGAGAUAGGGAGGAGGAACAGAAAUAGUUGGUGGUUGUAACCAAAACAAAAUAUUUUCUUCUGGGAACAUUCCCACAGGUGGUUGGAGAAAGAGGAGUGAUGUUACCAGGCAACCGGAUGAUACCUUGAUUGAACCAUGUGACUGAUUGUUUGGGGAAGGGAGGAAACUUUUACUUUUAAUUAUGUGAAAGCCACGGGAACAUUCAGAGUUGGUUUUCACCAGCCAUACCAAAAUGAUAUAUCGAAAUAAAAUUAUUCUU